rnacentral:lncRNA from 1 species
AGAGACGUCACCUACUUGACUGGAGUGGGCAGCGCGUCAUGACCGUCCCAACGCCUAAGCAGCUGAUGCUGCGACGCGGUGACACUCAAAGAAGGACAUGAGUCUAACUUGCUUCUGAUGAACUAAGGGAAUGAGUGGACUCCCCAACAGCCUGAGAGGCUCCCCUGCACCUGCAAGGACUGCAACAGAGAAAUGAGAGAAGAUACCGGUUUCCACUGUGUUUAUUACUAAUAUAAAAAAAAGUUAAAAAGAAAAAAAAA